UCCGGGACCUGCUCAACUCUACAGGCUCGGCCGGUGGCCGCUGCCCGGCGCUGGGCUCCUGGCGCUGCAAGGCGGAGAGGCCUGGGUCUGGCGCCGUCCGCGCGGCCCUGGUCGCGGCCGGCAGGCGCUGCAGCGCGACAGGGGGCGGGGCCGGCUGCAGGGGAGUCCCGGUUGGCUGGGGAGCCUCCGGGCUGGGCCGGGUGACACAAGGGCUGGGUCUCCGGCAGUCGCGUCAAGGGCCGGGCCGCCGCGUGACCGGCUGCAGUCACGCUGUGCUUAAUCACAAUUAGCUUUUGCUCCUGGCUGCUCGUGUUCCCCAUUCUCCCAGCCGGUGACCCCGGAGAUUUCUCUUAUGGUGGCUUUCUCUGAAAUGCCAAAGCCACCCGAUUAUUCAGAACUGAGUGACUCUUUAACGCUUGCCGUAGGAACAGGAAGAUUUUCGGGACCACUGCACAGAGCAUGGAGAAUGAUGAACUUCCGUCAGCGGAUGGGAUGGAUUGGAGUGGGAUUGUAUCUUUUAGCAAGUGCAGCAGCAUUUUACUAUGUUUUUGAAAUCAAUGAGACUUACAACAGGCUGGCCUUGGAACACAUUCAACAGCACCCAGAGGAGCCCCUUGAAGGAACCACAUGGACACACUCCUUGAAAUCUCGGUUGCUCUCCCUGCCUUUUUGGUUUUGGACAGUUAUUUUUCUGAUACCUUACCUACAGAUGUUUUUGUUCCUUUAUUCUUGUACAAGAGCUGACCCCAAAACAGUGGGCUACUGUAUUAUUCCCAUAUGCUUGGCAAUUAUCUGCAAUCGCCACCAGGCAUUUGUCAAGGCUUCUAAUCAGAUCAGCAGACUACAACUGAUUGACACGUAAAAUCGCUCACUUUUUUCCUUACAAGUACAAAACUGCCAGUACUAUAUGGAGCCUGAUCACAAGACUGCAGUUUCUUCACAGAUCUCAGGAAGUUGUGGUGGGACAGAUGUUUUUUAAAAAAUGUGAUUGGGGGCUGUCUUUAUCUGAACAAUAAGGAAUUUUUAGGUAAAGCCUGAGAUACAGUACUACAAAAUCAUGUUGAUGACUUCAGAUUUUGGAAGUAAAAUUUUACCUGUUAUUUGCAUUCUUUAGAAACUUGACUCUCCAGGUGUGCCAAGACCCAGCCUCAGGGCAGGAGGAAACAGGAAGCAGGAGGUGAGCCCAAUGGCAACAUCUGCAGCCCUGAGCGGCUCCUGUGGUGGUCUGGAAUGGAUCUGGGCAUGCAGCACGGGAAUGGCAGGCCCUGCCAGUCAGGCCCCUCAGCAGCAGCGGUGUCCUUGCAGACAUGACCACCCCGAGCAGACCGCAGACAGCUGCCAGCCAGAGCCCAAGGUCGGGAAUGAGAUGUCUGUAUUUUCAGAUUCUGAGCCCUACUGUCCAAAUAAUCCUGAAUACACUUAUAUCAGACUUUUGCCUCCCACUGUAUCAAAACUGCUCUUAUCAAGAAGUCACCAGUCAUUUACACACAACUAAACUCAGUGAUCAAGUCUCAGUCCUCAAAUGCCUUUUUGACACACUCCCUUGUCUUUGAGAUCGUUUCUUUGGCUGGCUUCUGGAUCAGUACUGCUCAAGAGAACUUUAGUGAUGACGGAAAUGUUCUAUAUCUGUGCUGUCUUAAAUCAGUAGUCAUGAGCCACAUGAAAUGAGCCCUUGAGAUGUGGCUAGCAUGACCAAAGAACUGAAUUUUGAGUUUUAAUUUAAAUUUAAACAAUCACAUGUGGCUAGCAGCUACCAUGUAUUAACCCAAUUUUAGAUACUUUCCUGGUUUGCCUUCGCCCUCACCAGCUUCUCCUAUCCUCUUCACUGGUUCCUCCUUGCAGAUCUGUCCAAUUUCUAAAUGUUGGCAUGCCCUACUUCUCUUUUUCUACGCUUACUCCCUUGCCAUCUCAACUGGGCGCACGGCUUUAAGUACCCAAAUUUCUAGAACUACCCUUACCUCUCUCCUGAGCACCAGACUUGAAUAUCGAACAGCCUACUUGAUAUUUACUAAGCUAUCUUACCAGACACCUGAAAUUUAACCUGUCUAAAGCCAAGCUGCUGCUCUCUCCACCCAGCAAAAUCUGUUCAAGUCCCCAAGUCCACCAUCAAAUGGUGAGGGGUCGCUUUUAAAAUGUUAUUAUUCCUCUCAAAAAUGCUCCAAAAGCAUCCUGUCUUGGUAUAAAUACUGGUCCUUAACAUGGCAUAUAAAGUUCUAAGUAAGUGGCCCUUGAGUUAUACUUCAUUUUCUAGUAACCCCUCCAACCCUUGCUCCACUCCAGCCACACUGGUCUUCUUGCUGAUUCUAGCAACAUGCCAGAAAAAUGUGUUUCAGGGACUCCAGGCUCAGUGUAACUUCUGCCUGGAUGCUUAGCCCUGACCAGCUCCAUCACCUUCUUCAGACCUUUGCUCAAUUGUCAGUGCAGUGAGGCUGCCUCUGACCACCCCUUUUAAAAUUAAGCAUCAUCUGCCUCCAUUUUUCUUGACAGAAUUUAUCAUCAUAUGACAUAUUAUAUAUUUUGUCAGAAUCUAAACUCCAUGAGAGUAGGGAUUUUUUGUGCCACGUGUCCAAUGCCUAGAACAGUGCCUGGCACACAGUAGGUGCUCAGUAUUUACUGCAUGAAUGAUUUUUAUUGCCAUUCAACAACUUUCUCACUAGGCUGCAAAACAAGCUAGUUACGUGCCAGAGAAAAUAAAGAUUAAAGUUAUUAAGUGCAGAACAUAAUUUGUCACGUUUUAGGUAAGUUUGGUUCUUAAGCUCUCCCAGUUUUUAGCAAGUAGGGCUAUUUUCUUUUCAAGGCCAAGAUUUAAAAGGAGUCUCUUGAUUUAUUUUUGCCAAAAUUUCUUGUGAUCCUGGCUCUCUUGGGAUUUUCCUUAUUGAUGCAAGAAAAACAUAUACCACAUUCACAAACAAGGUUUUAAGUGGUGGUUAGAGCCUUGAGAAAUUCUCAAGUUACAAUCAUGAAGAUAACGGUUUCCUAAGCCACCUAACAGAUGCAGCAAGUAUCAUGCCGACAUCGUAGAGCCGUUGCACGCAACUUCAGUACUCUGCCAUCAAGGGGCGGUACUCUGGCCCUAUAAAGCACUCAUUUAAACCAGUCAUGUGUUUCUAGAAGUUACUUCUAUCCCCAAGAGAGCUUUUGGCAUGAGAGUAAAUUUCAACUUAAAACUAACCAAAAAGGCCUUGUUGCUGCCUCAACGUGAGCUGCUGCUUUUUAAAAGAUUUAAAUAGAGGCUUACUGCCUAGCAUUUACUUUCCCUGGGCCAUGUCUUUAAGGAGAGCAAUUCUGAUCACAAAGGUCACCCGAGAAUUUGAAUAGUUAACAGUAGCACUGUGAAAUUCUUUUCAUACUUUGAGAAUAAUGCACUGGCUAGAAGGUUAAGGCUAGGACCAUCAGUUUUAGAAACAUCUCCUCCCUUUUGUGAACGGUAGCCCACCUCAUAUUUAGCUUGGCUCUCCUAACCUCUUUAGAAGUUGCAUGCCACUCCCUCUUCUAACAAAGUAGUAGUCAGAUGGGAAAAGUCGAUCUUUUGUUUUUCAAGUCUGGAUUCAUUACAUUUCGCCCUGAAUUACUUACAUAACUAUGUUUUAAACUGUUAAUAUGGCUAGUCUGCCUUUGCUAAAAAAGCAUGACUUUUUAAAAUUAAAAAGUGGAAGUUUCACAAUAAAUUUUUCUGCUUGUGUAGAAAAAUAUGUAACAUAUGCUUUCUUAAAAUGCAAAGAGAACAAGAGUAUACAAUGAAAAGCCUCCCUCUCAUUCCCAACCCAAUUCCCUCUUUCCAGAUGCAGUUUGACUUUCCUUUCAGAUAUUAUAUGCAUAUCUAGCUAAUAUUCUCCACUAGCAGCACUCUACACACUCUUCUACAGCUUGCUAGUUUUCAUUUAACAUCAUAUCCUCAAGACUGAUCCUUAACAACAUGGAGGGCUAUACCUUGGUCUUUUUAAUGGCUGCACAGAAUUACUGUACUAAUGUGCUUCUAUUUUUAUUUAAUUAACUAGGGUCUUCUGCAGAUGAACAUUUAGGUUGUUUACAAUCUUUUGUUACCAAGAAUAAUGCUCCAAUGGAUAAUUUUGUAUACAGAUCUGUGCACAUGUGUGCUAUUAGCCGUUGGUUAAAUUUCUGUAAGUGAAAUUGCUGGGUCAAAGAGCAUGUAUAUUUAACAUUUUACACUCUCAUCAUCAAUGUAUUAUAGAGUUCACACCCUUUCCAGCUCAAUAUUGCAUCAAAACUUUUGACCUUUUAGUCUGAGAAGUAAAAAAAACCAAAAAAACG